rnacentral:rRNA from 1 species
UCGGAAUCGCUAGUAAUCGUGGAUCAGAAUGCCACGGUGAAUACGUUCCCGGGCCUUGUACACACCGCCCGUCACACCAUGGGAGUGGGUUGCAAAAGAAGUAGGUAGCUUAACCUUCGGGAGGGCGCUUACCACUUUGUGAUUCAUGACUGGGGUGAAGUCGUAACAAGGUAACCGUAGGGGAACCUGCGGUUGGAUCACCUCCUUACCUGAAAGAAGC